UACAGGGGGUGCAAACGUUGCUCGGAAUUAUUGGGCGUAAAGCGCGCGUAGGCGGCUACCUAAGUCGGAUGUGAAAGCCCCUGGCUUAACUGGGGAAGUGCACCCGAAACUGGGUAGCUAGAGUGCAAAAGAGGGUCGCGGAAUUCCCGGUGUAGAGGUGAAAUUCGUAGAUAUCGGGAGGAACACCGGUGGCGAAGGCGGCGACCUGGGCCAAUACUGACGCUGAGGUGCGAAAGCGUGGGGAGCAAACAGG
rnacentral:rRNA from 1 species